GCCUGGGUGGCUCAGUUGGUUGAGCACCUGAUUUCAGCUCAGGUCGAUCUCACCAUUCGUGAGUUUGAGCCCCGCAUCAGGCU
rnacentral:tRNA from 1 species